CGGGUCUCUUGUUUUCUCGCUUCCAUGUACAGUUGUAAACCACUGUCUUUUUAGCUUCUCUCUCCUCUUCACUCUUACCCGGUUACCCACUUACCCCUGCUCAUUUCCCUUCUCCCUUUCCCUCUCUUCCUUCAAACCCUAUUCAUUCAAGCCAAAUAAUAAAGAUUCAAAUCGAGAAGCCAUAAACAAAGAAAAGGAAAGGGGGAUGGCGAAACAAAAUUACCAAAAUUAAGCUCUUUGAUUUCACAAAAGCUUGAUCGAUCUGAUUUAUUUACCCGGACGUGACAAGUUGAAGCAAUCUUCUACAAUUUUAGAGGUCUAUAUCUUAUGGGUUUUUCCAAAAAUCUCGAAAAUGGUGGGGUUUUUUUUUGGCAGGUGUGGGAUUUAAUGUUGUAGUAAAAGAGAUUUAUUUAUAUGCUGAAUAAUUCAAAAUAUGUAAUUAAAUAGCAUUUUUUGUUGUUUUUUUUUCAUUUUAGUCAGAUUUAAGUUUUAGUGCGUAUGAAUUAUGUACCUAUUAUAGUAUCCAAGUAUUUACACAUGCAUAAACUUUAUCAAUUGACAACUAAAUGAAUAAAUUGGCUUUUUCGGAUU